rnacentral:rRNA from 1 species
AUGCAAGUCGAACGAGACGAUUUUAAGCUUGCUUAGAUGAGUCGAGUGGCAAACGGGUGAGUAACGCGUAGACAACCUGCCGCAAAGAUGGGGACAACAGUCCGAAAGGACUGCUAAUACCGAAUGUUGUAUCGUUUCCGCAUGGAGAUGAUAUUAAAGAUGGCCUCUACUUGUAAGCUAUCGCUUUGCGAUGGGUCUGCGUCUGAUUAGCUAGUUGGUGGGGUAACGGCCUACCAAGGCGACGAUCAGUAGCCGGUCUGAGAGGAUGAACGGCCACAUUGGAACUGAGACACGGUCCAGACUCCUACGGGAGGCAGCAGUGGGGAAUCUUCCGCAAUGGGCGAAAGCCUGACGGAGCAACGCCGCGUGAGUGAAGAAGGGUUUCGGCUCGUAAAGCUCUGUUGACGGGGACGAAUGUGCGAAAUGCGAAUAGUUUCUCGCAAUGACGGUACCCGUCGAGGAAGCCACGGCUAACUACGUGCCAGCAGCCGCGGUAAUACGUAGGUGGCGAGCGUUGUCCGGAAUUAUUGGGCGUAAAGGGAGCGCAGGCGGGAAGGCAAGUCAGUCUUAAAAGUGCGGGGCUCAACCCCGUGAUGGGAUUGAAACUGUCUUUCUUGAGUGCAGGAGAGGAAAGCGGAAUUCCUAGUGUAGCGGUGAAAUGCGUAGAUAUUAGGAGGAACACCAGUGGCGAAGGCGGCUUUCUGGACUGUAACUGACGCUGAGGCUCGAAAGCGUGGGGAGCGAACAGGAUUAGAUACCCUGGUAGUCCACGCCGUAAACGAUGAGUGCUAGGUGUAGGAGGUAUCGACCCCUUCUGUGCCGGAGUUAACGCAAUAAGCACUCCGCCUGGGGAGUACGGUCGCAAGACUGAAACUCAAAGGAAUUGACGGGGGCCCGCACAAGCGGUGGAGUAUGUGGUUUAAUUCGACGCAACGCGAAGAACCUUACCAGGGCUUGACAUUGAGUGAAAGACUUAGAGAUAAGUCCCUCUCUUCGGAGACACGAAAACAGGUGGUGCAUGGCUGUCGUCAGCUCGUGUCGUGAGAUGUUGGGUUAAGUCCCGCAACGAGCGCAACCCUUAUCAUUUGUUGCCAGCACGUUAAGGUGGGAACUCAAAUGAGACUGCCGCGGACAACGCGGAGGAAGGCGGGGAUGACGUCAAGUCAUCAUGCCCCUUAUGUCCUGGGCUACACACGUACUACAAUGGGAUGGACAGAGAGCAGCGACCCCGCGAGGGCAAGCGAACCCCAUAAACCAUCUCCCAGUUCGGAUUGCAGGCUGCAACCCGCCUGCAUGAAGUCGGAAUCGCUAGUAAU